rnacentral:tmRNA from 1 species
GGGGAUGUUAUGGAUUCGACAUAUGUAGUUGAGCAUUGGUUGCAUCUCGUAGGUUACGGCUACGUAAAAACGUUACAGUUAAAUUAUAACUGCAAAAAAUAACAAUAAUUCUUACGCUUUAGCUGCUUAAUCUCAGUUUAAAGUGUGAUCUAUUCAAUCUUGCUCAAGGGUUGUUUUUGGGUCUCAAAAUAUUGGGCUACGAUUAAUUGUGCUACCUGAGCAAUUAAUAAGAGAUUAGUAGGUUAGUCGUUAAGGUUAGCCUAGUUGCACGGCGCGCUUGACGGUGAAAUUUAAAUGGUGUAGCUAUGGAUGUAGAUGCUAAUGUGGCAGUACGUGUGGACAGGAGUUCGAUUCUCCUCAUCUCCAUUU